GAGUGCGCCCUGCUUUACGGCCACUGCAAACGUCUCCGCGUAGGUCCCGCAGCCCAGGAAGGCAGAGCCUGCUGAGGGCGUCAGAGAAGAUGAGAGCGCCUGAGCAGCGCUCCAGCUGUCACCGCGUGAGCCCCGAAGACUAAUGCAGAGAAUCAACAAGAACGUGGUUUUGGCGCUUCUCACUUUGACCAGCUCGGUGUUUCUUCUGUUCCAGCUGUAUUACUAUAAGUACUACUUGUCUCCAAAGAAUGGACCAGCUUUUUCAAGAGUCAAAGGAAGCCAGUCAGGACAGGACAACACAAGAUGGCAUGUGGUUAAGAAAUUCUUAGGUUUAGUGUCCAGUCACAACGUACCAGUGUAUCUUAUUGAUCCUUUGGUUCUGGGACUAAUAAAUAAAGACAUCAAGCAGCUCAGAAGUUCUUCUGAUGGAAGUAGCCCAGAAUGCAAGUAUUUCUGUGCUCCAAGGGACUUUACCACAUUUGCACUACUGGACAAAACAUGGAAACAUGAAACAGGCUUAUUUAGAUCUGCUGAGAAAAUGGGGUUCCAAUGGCUAAAGAUUCAAAACAAAGACCCCCGCUUGGAAGGGAUGGAUGACCUCUCUGGAAUUGAAAUUCCACUACACUAUAUCUUCAGAUUGGCAUCUCAUGCCAUCCAUGUGGUAGUCUUUUAUGAGAGGAGUGGUAACUACCUCUGGCAUGGCCAGUUGCGGCUAAAACAACACAUGGACAGAAAAUUUGUGCCUUUCCGGAAGCUGCACUUUGGUCGCUACCCUGGAGCUUAUGGAAAGCUAGUACUUCUCCCUGUUUCCAUUGAUGAAUUGAAAGUUCAGAUUCCUAAAAAUCCGUCCCAGUUUCUAGAGGAGAUGUCACACGCUAGAUUUCUUGAAUGUAGGUACAGAGAAGCUCGGGCUUUCUUUCAGCUGUACCCUGAUGAUACCUCCCUGGAUGCAGUGGAAUUCAGGAAAAAAGCAAAAGCACUGCUGCAUUUGGCUGCCCUAACGCUAAAUAACUUAGGAGUGAGAUUCUGGCUGAGCAGUGGAACAUGCCUUGGCUGGUAUAGACAGUGCAAUAUUAUUCCUUACAGCAAAGAUGUUGAUUUGGGGAUCUUUAUAAAAGACUACAAAUCUGAUAUCAUUCCAGCAUUUUGGAAGGCAGGAUUACCACUAAAGCACAAGUUUGGCAAGGUAGAAGACAGCUUGGAGCUCUCCUUUCAAGGAGAAGGUGACGUGAAACUUGAUAUUUUUUUCUUCUAUGAAGAGGAUGACCACAUAUGGAAUGGAGGAACUCAGGCCAAAUCGGGCAAGAAAUUUAAGUACCUGUUUCCGAAGUUUACACUGUGUUGGACUGAGUUUGUAGAACUCAAGGUACAUGUGCCCUGCGAAACCCUCCAGUAUAUUGAAGCCAACUAUGGCAAGGACUGGAAGGAACCUGUGAAGACAUGGGACUGGAAAAGCUCUCCACCCAAUAGCAUUAUGGCUGUAUCCAAGUCACUGCUUCUCUGUCAGCAGCUGGUUAGAUAGGACAAAUCUUUGAGUUUCCAUGAUCAUCUGAAAAUACAAAAGGGCAAUAGCAACAAUAAGAAAUUCCUAAUAUUUGGCAUCCCAGUAGCAAUGUCUACAGCAGGGGAAUCUUAGAUUUAAAUUUAUUAUGAUGAAAG